rnacentral:rRNA from 1 species
UUCUGGUUGAUCCUGCCGGAGGCGACCGCUAUUGGAGUUCGAUUAAGCCAUGCGAGUCUAGGGGCAAUAGCCUCGGCGUACCGCUCAGUAACACGUGGAUAACCUGCCCUGUUCAGGGGGAUAACCUCGCGAAAGUGAGAAUAAUACCCCAUAGUUCACCAUGCCUGGAACGGUUGGUGGAUAAAAGCUCAGGCGGAACAGGAUGGGUCUGCGGCGUAUCAGGUUGUAGGGGGUGUAAUGGACCUCCUAGCCAUCGACGCGUACGGGUUGUGGGAGCAAUCGCCCGGAGAUGGAUUCUGAGACACGAAUCCAGACCCUACGGGGUGCAGCAGGCGCGAAAACUUGACAAUGCGAGCAAUCGUGAUCAGGGAACUCCAAGUGGACCAGUUUUUACUGGUUUCUGAACCGACUUUAAACAGGUCGGGUAAUAGGGGCGGGAAAUAUCGGUGCCAGCCGCCGCGGUAAUACCGAAGCCCCAAGUGGUCGUCGAUCUUAUUGGGCCUAAAACGUCCGUAGCCGGUUUGGUACAUUCGUGGGUAAAUCAGACAGCUUAACUGUUUGAAUUCUGCGAGCACGGCCAAACUUGAGACCGGGAGAGGUGUAGGGUACCUGCGGGGUAGGGGUAAAAUCCUGUCAUCCCGUAGGGACCA